UACAGAGGGGGCGAGCGUUAUUCGGAAUUAUUGGGCGUAAAGGGCGCGUAGGCUGCCUUUCAAGUGACGGGUGAAAUCCCUCGGCUUAACCGAGGAACUGCCUGUCAGACUGGAAGGCUUGAGACCGGGAGAGGUGAGUGGAAUUCCCAGUGUAGCGGUGAAAUGCGUAGAUAUCGGGAGGAACACCAGUGGCGAAGGCGGCUCACUGGACCGGUACUGACGCUGAGGCGCGAAAGCGUGGGGAGCAAACAGG
rnacentral:rRNA from 1 species